GACGAACGCUGGCGGCGUGCUUAACACAUGCAAGUCGAACGGAAAGGCCCUGCUUUUGUGGGGUGCUCGAGUGGCGAACGGGUGAGUAACACGUGAGUAACCUGCCCUUGACUUUAGGAUAACUUCAGGAAACUGGGGCUAAUACCGGAUAGGAGCUCCUGCUGCAUGGUGGGGGUUGGAAAGUUUCGGCGGUUGGGGAUGGACUCGCGGCUUAUCAGCUUGUUGGUGGGGUAGUGGCUUACCAAGGCUUUGACGGGUAGCCGGCCUGAGAGGGUGACCGGCCACAUUGGGACUGAGAUACGGCCCAGACUCCUACGGGAGGCAGCAGUGGGGAAUAUUGCACAAUGGGCGGAAGCCUGAUGCAGCAACGCCGCGGGCGGGAUGACGGCCUUCGGGUUGUAAACCGCUUUCGCCUGUGACGAAGCGUGAGUGACGGUAAUGGGUAAAGAAGCACCGGCUAACUACGUG
rnacentral:rRNA from 1 species